rnacentral:lncRNA from 1 species
CUUAUUUCCCCUGUGGAUUUGGAGCCAGAAAGUGCUGGAGCCAUUUAUAGUCAAGUCUUUCACCAUGGGGAGGAACUGGAGCGAGGGCAGAAGGUGCAAGUGAAUUUUGGUGCGGUGUCAGUCCUUGGUUCCAGCUGUCUCUGAGGCCCACCUACACCCUUCUCUUCCUGCAGUUAUGAGAACUUUCCCAGAGAAACUUCUUUUUGCUUAAACUUGUAAGCAAAGGAAUCUUGACUAAGACAGAUACUUUGUUGAAUGUUUAUUGAGCAAUUCCAUCUGCCAAUCCCUGGGGAUACAACAGAGAAGACAUGGAUCCUUUCCUCUGAAAUGUCAUAGUGGCAGAGAAGACAACAGGCAGGUGAUGGGGGCUGCCACAGUCGUAGCGCAGAGCAGGCAUGCUCCACUUUGCUUAGGGGAGUCCACAGACGUCUCAUAGGAGGAAGAGGUGCCUACCCAGAGCCUUAGGGAACAUGGCCACAUCCCAAACUGGCUCCCCAGCAGCUCCAGGCUGGACUGUGGAAGCAGAAACCCUCCUGGCAGGCAAGCAGACACCACAACCGCCUAAGCCGAUCGAAUGCCUGCUGCACUGCUGAAGAGGAAACAGAGUCGUGGCCUCCGGGAGGGGGCUCAAACCUGUGACUGGUGCAUGUUCGCCAUUAGACACACUGGCUGGUGACCAGCAGCCCCACCUACAGAAUUCCCUGGAAUGAGGAAUGGCAUUCCUGAGACCACUCAGCAGAGACUACCUCAAAAGGCGCUGCUCAAUGCCAGGAAAUGCAGCGAGAGAAAAUCCCCUUCCGGUGCCACCUCUGUGGCCAGCACACAGGUCCCCUGCUCAGCGGGUGUGUGUAGACGUGCCCUCAGGAAGCUCAGCCCAAGGCCCUCUGGAAGUGGCCACAGCUGGACCACACGGAACUCAUCCACUGCUUCUUUGGAGCUCCAGGAAAGCGCCAGAAGAGGGGCACUGAGGCAGAGGGAAAGCUAAGCAGCCUGUGGCUCAGGGGACUACCUUGCAACUGCUUGAAUGUAAAGCAGGCAGAGAAAUCCUCCUGGGAACCUGAGGCCAGGUGUAUGAGUGGGAUUUAAGAGAGGCCAGCGCCCCUUCCGGGGUGGCCCCAGCCCAGGAGGAGGGCGUGAGAGGCACACCUGGGAAGUGUCAGAGCCUGACAGGCGUGAGCUGGAGGCCUGGCAGGAGAGUGCUCUCACCACCUGACCAUCCUGGAAAGCUGUCAAAGUCCCAGUGCCCAUGCCACACCCCACAACAAUCCAAUCAAACUCUUUGGAGGUAGGACCCAGGCGUCUCUGAUUUUUAAAAUUUCCAGGUAAUUAAAAUAUUCAGCCAUGCUUGAGAACCAGUGCUUUAAAGAGAUAUCUGAUGCAUCCCAGGCUCAUCAAACAAAACAAGUAGGGCUCUUCCUGAGUGAUUCAUCAAGCUACCUUCUCUCUAGAGGCCCUCUUCACUACUCUAGUCUCUCCAAAUCCCUGCCAUUCCUCCACAUCCAUCUCCAUUGCCACCUCCUGAUGGGAGCCCUCCAUGGCUGCCCCAGCUGCAGUGAGUGCCUUUCUUCAAGGGCCCCUGUCACUGAGGACCUGCAUAGCCAUACAUAGCCAUCAGCUGACAGGUGUUUGCCCGUCCAUUUGAGCAAUCCAUUCCUGUGGGGGCAGGUACUAUGUUGUCCAUCAUGCUUUCUCACAACCUGCUGACCUACCACCUACCACAAUUCACUGCCCACAUUAUAUGCUCAAUUAGUGUUUUCUGGCUGACUUACAUCCUAGUGCAUUUCAACAUUUCAAGCAAUCUUGGUAAGAGAGUUGAAAGAAUGUCUGAUUCAAAUUAGUGGUUUUGUUGGUGAUCAGUGAUUGUGGUGAUAGAGAUGUAUAUGAUAGGAAUGGUAUAGGAAGAAUGGCCAAGAAAUGCCUCUCAGGCUGUCUCCCAAGAUGGUAUGUAUAACCCAUAUAGCCCAAUCCUCAGGUGGUCCAGUCCCUGCACUGAACAUCUUCAAAGAUGUGGUAGUUCCACAGGGCAGUAGGCAAUGACAGGUAUUUUCUAAUUAAAAGCACUUCAAAUAUUUACUACAGUCUCUUGAGGAAACUUAAAUGUGGCAAACCAAACACAUGCAUUUAUAUCUACUGAGGAGCCUUGAGGGGUGAGGAGAAACAAAAAUGUAUUCCAGCCAGUGAGACCAGCAGUGAUGGGGACAGAGGGACACAAAGCCCUCCCCGGUUCUCAGAAUGGCAAGAGGUCUUGUGAGUGUGGAGUGUAGGGAGGAAUGGUUAAAAGAGACUGAGAAGGAGCCAGUAUACAAAUGGGCUUGAGUCAUGAGCCAAGGGGGUAGAUUCCAGGUUUUACCAUCCAAAGCCUACAACUAACAAGUGGUGUGAUCAGAUCACUCUGGCAACAUGCAGAGGGCAGGACACCGUCAGGCCACUAGAGCAGCGGUGGGGAGAAAGGGCCAGGCAGAAAAGGGCUGGGAGAUGUGGCCCAGCCACUAUCAGGUCCACCUGCGGUUGCCGAAGAAGAUGCUUCUAUGCCCCGUUCCCUGUGUGGUGUGUUCUCAGGCCUGGGGCUGGCAUUGAAGGUGCUCCUACACACCUUACCCAAGACUUGCUUCCACCCAGUGCUAACUGGCCACUCCAUGCCACUGCUCCAGGCUCUGAGCGGAGGUCAGAUAGCCCCCCAGUUGCUGGGAGGGCCAACCUCAGCUGCCUUCACACACAGCCCAACAUUUUCACCUUAUGUACAAGCCAAAGGAUAUGUAUAGUCACCACCAGAUAGAAAACAAGCAAAUCUUUAGGCUCAGACAAUAUGAAAUAUAUAUCAGCGACUUAAAAAAAUGUAUGCCAAUUUUUACCAAAAGAAUUUCAGAGUCUGGGCUGCUUGGGUUUUCCAGGAAGCUGAUGUUGAGAUAGGGUUAGGAAUGCAAGGUUAAAGAGGGUGAGGGUAACGCCUGGGAAUGAAAUGGGGCAAAAGUAAGAGUGGAGUUCUCAGACCUGCAGGCCUGACUUUCUGCCAGUCAUCCAGUGAACUAAAACAAAAACAGCCCAUUAGAGGACUCCUGUGUUGGAAAUGUGGAAACGAUGGAAUGGCUGGGCCCUCAUACCACCAUCUUGCUCAGUCAUUGGACAGGGACACCCAAAGAAAAUCAUAAACUUGGUCCAAAAGCUGAGUAGACCCUGUAGGAGCCAACAGUGGUAGGCUGCCAGCUGAGCACAGCCUUGAAGCAGGGCAGUUUUUUUUUGUUUGUUUGUUU